rnacentral:ncRNA from 2 species
CGAUCGCCAUAUGCCGUCGGUCCCGGUGGACUGACAUUAUGGGAAUCCGGUGUGAAUCCGGAGCUGCCCCGCAGCGGUAAUGGUGAAUGAGGCUGAUUCUCUUUCGAGGAUCGGUCGAUUCCACCGAAGCCCGAAGACCUGGUGAUGGCCCGAGCCGACG